rnacentral:rRNA from 1 species
CGGGUGAGUAACACGUGAGUAACCUGCCCCUGACUUCGGGAUAAGCCCGGGAAACUGGGUCUAAUACCGGAUACGACUGCCGGACGCAUGUCUGGUGGUGGAAAGUUUUUUCGGUUGGGGAUGGGCUCGCGGCCUAUCAGUUUGUUGGUGAGGUAAUGGCUCACCAAGACGACGACGGGUAGCCGGCCUGAGAGGGCGACCGGCCACACUGGGACUGAGACACGGCCCAGACUCCUACGGGAGGCAGCAGUGGGGAAUAUUGCACAAUGGGGGAAACCCUGAUGCAGCGACGCAGCGUGCGGGAUGACGGCCUUCGGGUUGUAAACCGCUUUCAGCAGGGAAGAAGCGCAAGUGACGGUACCUGCAGAAGAAGUACCGGCUAACUACGUGCCAGCAGCCGCGGUAAUACGUAGGGUACGAGCGUUGUCCGGAAUUAUUGGGCGUAAAGAGCUCGUAGGUGGUUGGUCACGUCUGCUGUGGAAACGCAACGCUUAACGUUGCGCGUGCAGUGGGUACGGGCUGACUAGAGUGCAGUAGGGGAGUCUGGAAUUCCUGGUGUAGCGGUGAAAUGCGCAGAUAUCAGGAGGAACACCGGUGGCGAAGGCGGGACUCUGGGCUGUAACUGACACUGAGGAGCGAAAGCAUGGGGAGCGAACAGGAUUAGAUACCCUGGUAGUCCAUGCCGUAAACGUUGGGCACUA